AAAUCUGCCCUUAGGCUCUGUCUGAGAAAGUGCAGGGUUCAUGGAUCCUGGCAGGUGCCAAGGAUUGGCCUGUCCUCCCCUGCCGCAUCUUAGGACCAGUCCUCUGCCCGACUUUUUAGGAGGAUGUGAGCUUAUGCUGUGCAUCUCUGGCUUUUCGUGUAGGUAAGUACCAACACACGCCCACUGACCUGAGGCUCCUUUCACUGGCUGCCAGAACCCACCUACUGAGGGCUGAGAGACCAGGUUCCCAUGCUCUCCGGGACAAGUCCAUGGGCCCAUGAACGAGUCCAGAACCCUGUCAUAGGGCCAGGGACAAUGACAGAAGGGAGAGCUGGGAAUCCUGCCCACAUACCCCAUUCCAGGUGGAGAAAGAUCCCAUUCGAUGGAGAGGGAGCAUCUUUAGAAGGAAAGAGAAUCAGGUGGGCCCCUCAAGGCUCAAGGGAGCGAAGAAGAGGGGCCAAGUCCCCCAGCAGGACUGGCCAGGUUGGCCAGAGGCAGACCCGACAGCCACCUGUGGGCUAUUAGCUUGUUCAGCAGGGUUUGGCUUUGCAGAAGCUUGGAAAGCAUAUGAGAAAGGUUCUCAGCCCAGAUGCUAGUAGCCAAUUAAGCCUACCUCUCCCAAGGGCAGGUGUACUUGACCAGGAGACCACGCCUUCUCAGCUCCUAAGAUUGGAUUUUACAAAGUUGAAUUUCCAGUAUCAGCUGGAGGGGGAACUAGAACUUCAUAUAUAAUUCUUUCAGUUGCUCCUGAUAAAAAGCUUUUCUUUCUUUUCUUUUUCUUUUUAGUGCCAUACCCUCAACAUAUGGAAGUUCCCAGGCUAGGGGUUGAAUCGGAGCUGUAGCCACUGGCCACAACCACAGCCACAGCCACAGAGAUGCUGGAUCUGAACCUGACAGCACUCAUGGCCUAAACCCAGCCAGAACAGAGACUGGGACUUGAACCCACGUGCUGGGAUUCAAAUCCAGCCUAAACCCAGAUGGGGACUUAAACCCAUGGUUUUAGAGUAGAAUCACUUGCCCAGUUUCGGGACUCACUGAGGUUCAGGUUCUUCAUGCCUCUGAGCAGAAGGAAUUCAGCGAAAGAUAAAGUGUUAGGCAAGACACAGGUUUAUUAGGAUAGGACACUUGGAAGAGUUUCAAGCAGGCAGGGAUGGAAGCUCUGCCCCCAGGAUUCGGUGGGCUACAGUUUUAUUAUCCUAGGGGAGUGGGGGUCAGAAAAGACCACCUCUUCCUCUUUCUUGGAGUAGGAGCUGUAAUACCAGUAAGGUGUGUAUUCAAAUCAGCAGAAGAGUGGCCCUCAACUCCUGCCCUUGGUCUGAAUCUGAACGCAGGCCUCAUCCCAUCUCCCACUCAAUGUCUUGAGCCUCCACUAGUCAAGCAAGCCCGUCUCAUUCUGAUGGUUUUCUUGAGCAAUUAUUAACUUACACUCAUCUCCCAACAUCCCCAAGAUUUCCCUCUCUAUCUGCUGGGACUUCUACAACUCCCUGUGCCUACUCCGUCCCUAUCAGAUCUGUGAGAAUUAACA
rnacentral:lncRNA from 1 species